GUUACAACAAGUCCACUCUGUUUAUUUUAGGCAAACUUACGAGGAUCCUGGUUGGUGGAGUGAUGUCGUCCUCUUGGCUCGAGUCUUGGCUCCUCCAUCAGCUCUCCUCAGCCAGUGUCCUGGUCUGGAACAAACAGCAGUGAUGGUCAUCCUCCAGAUUCACGGCUCCCCUACCAGCUUGCCUCCGCUCCAGAAACACGUUCUAUCGUCCUCCAGCGUCUCAGCUCCUCCAGCAGCUCUCCUCAGACAGAGUCCUGGUCUGGAACAAACAGCGGAAGUCUUGCUUCAACAUGUGGCAGGCCCUCCACCAGCUCCUCCACCAGCCCAGGGCCUUCAGCACAGCUCCUCCAUCAGCGCCUUC